rnacentral:rRNA from 1 species
AACCUGGUUGAUCCUGCCAGUAGUCAUAUGCUUGUCUCAAAGACUAAGCCAUGCAUGUCUAAGUAUAAGUAUUAUACAGCGAAACUGCGAAUGGCUCAUUAAAACAGUUAUAAUUUAUUUGAUAAUCGAAUUUACAUGGAUAACCGUGGUAAUUCUAGAGCUAAUGCAUGCUGGUAGGCCCGACUUUUUGGAAGGGCGGUAUUUAUUAGAUAACAAACCAAUAUUCCUCUGGUCUAUUGUGGUGAAUCAUAAUAACUGAUCGAAUCGCAAGGUUUUUAACCGCGAUAAGUCAUUCAAGUUUCUGCCCCAUCAGCUUUCGAUGGUAGUGUAUUGGACUACCAUGGCUUUUACGGGUAACGGAGGAUUAGGGUUCGAUUCCGGAGAGGGAGCCUGAGAAACGGCUACCACAUCUAAGGA